rnacentral:rRNA from 1 species
UACGUAGGGAGCAAGCGUUGUCCGGAAUCAUUGGGCGUAAAGCGCGCGUAGGUGGCCUCAUAAGUCCGCUGUGAAAGUCAAAGGCUCAACCUUUGAAAGCCGGUGGAUACUGUGUCGCUGGAGUACGGAAGAGGAAGGCGGAAUUCCCGGUGUAGCGGUGAAAUGCGUAGAUAUCGGGAGGAACAUCAGUGGCGAAGGCGGCCUUCUGGUCCAGUACUGACACUCAAGUGCGAAAGCGUGGGGAGCAAACAGG